UUAGAGUUUGAUCAUGGCUCAGGACGAACGCUGGCGGCGUGCCUAAUACAUGCAAGUCGAACGAGGCUUUUUGAUUGAUGCUUGCAUCAGCUAAAAAGCCGAGUGGCGAAUGGGUGAGUAACACGUGGGUAACUUGCCUUGAAGCGGGGGAUAACAUUUGGAAACAGAUGCUAAUACCGCAUAACCACAAAAACCUCCUGGUUUUUGUGUUAAAGAUGGUUCUGCUAUCACUUCAAGAUGGACCCGCGGCGUAUUAGCUUGUUGGUGAGGUAAUGGCUCACCAAGGCAAUGAUACGUAGCCGAACUGAGAGGUUGAUCGGCCACAUUGGGACUGAGACACGGCCCAAACUCCUACGGGAGGCAGCAGUAGGGAAUCUUCCACAAUGGACGCAAGUCUGAUGGAGCAACGCCGCGUGAGUGAAGAAGGUCUUCGGAUCGUAAAACUCUGUUGUCAGAGAAGAACGUGCGUGAGAGCAACUGUUCAUGCAGUGACGGUAUCUGACCAGAAAGUCACGGCUAACUACGUGCCAGCAGCCGCGGUAAUACGUAGGUGGCAAGCGUUGUCCGGAUUUAUUGGGCGUAAAGGGAACGCAGGCGGUCUUUUAAGUCUGAUGUGAAAGCCCUCGGCUUAACCGAAGUCGUGCAUUGGAAACUGGGGGACUUGGGUGCAGAAGAGGAGAGUGGAACUCCAUGUGUAGCGGUGAAAUGCGUAGAUAUAUGGAAGAACACCAGUGGCGAAAGCGGCUCUCUGGUCUGUAACUGACGCUGAGGUUCGAAAGCAUGGGUAGCAAACAGGAUUAGAUACCCUGGUAGUCCACGCCGUAAACGAUGAAUGCUAAGUGUUUGGAAGGGUUUCCGCCCUUCAGUGCCGCAGCUAACGCAUUAAGCAUUCCGCCUGGGGGAGUACGAUCGCAAGAUUGAAACUCAANAGGAAUUGACGGGGGCCCGCACAAGCGGUGGAAGCAUGUGGGUUUAAUUUGAAGCAACGCGAAGAACCUUACCAGGUCUU
rnacentral:rRNA from 1 species